UUGGGGUCUGCGGGAGCCAGAAAAUGCGUGCAGACACCCACCUGGCUUUUUGGGGGAGAGAGGGAGGAGCCAAAGUGUCUGUGGGAUAUUUAAAGUCUUCAGUAAAGAUCUUCAGUGAGUUACCUACUAUGGGAGUCAGGAUAUCAGCAGCCUCCAAAGUCUGUAAAGGCUGGCAUGGGACAGAGCACCGUCGAGGAAGCCGUGUCAGGAACACUCACCUCUUGACACCACUGCUAAUAGGUGGUUAUUACAGCCCAUUGUGCUGAGAGCGGAGGUCUGGCUCUGACAGCUGCUCCAGUGACAAAGUGGUUUUACCUCACCUAAAAAUCGUAAGCAUCACGAACCUUUAAAAUACUCCUCUGACUUUCCUAUUUUAAAUUAAAUAUCGUUGUAAGUUUAGUAAGUUAUAAAAAGGAUAUGAUUACAUAAAACCAGCAUCACCUUGGUAAGAGAUUUAUUAUUAAAUGUAGUUGCAUCCUGUGUCUGCAACUACAGGAUGAUGUAAAAUAAGUGUGAAUGCAGAUGAACUGACUGGCUUUGAAUAUUUUUGUACGCUGAGCAAAUUGUUAAUUUACAUUAGUGGGGAAUCUGGUUCAUG
rnacentral:lncRNA from 1 species